UUACGAAAGGAACGACUAAUACCGCAUACGUCUACGGGAGAAAGCAGGGGACCUUCGGGCCUUGCGCUAUCAGAUGAGCCUAGGUCGGAUUAGCUAGUUGGUGAGGUAAUGGCUCACCAAGGCGACGAUCCGUAACUGGUCUGAGAGGAUGAUCAGUCACACUGGAACUGAGACACGGUCCAG
rnacentral:rRNA from 1 species